rnacentral:sRNA from 1 species
CACCCUCAAUCCACUCCCCAUUCCGUCCAUUUAAAAAAAAAACUUUGAAAAGUUUCAACAAAAUCUAAGAAUAGUUGAAAUAAUUUGUUGCGGAUGAAAAUGUUAAAAUGUUGUGUUUUUUUUUUUCACUCUAAAGAUAAGGUUUUAUUUUCGUAUUCUUGUUUAGACUAGAGCACACACACACACGCACACACACACACACACACACACACACACACGCUAGAUAAGCCACAGGGUUAGACGCCGUCAUCUCUAUGGAUGCAUCCCGAGGUGAGGGCAACACUUAGCUGUAUACACACAGUCCAGUCUGGAAAUAGUACGUGACGUCUGACUUGCUAAUUUUUUCAAUACGUCUAGACUGUGGAGCACAACACACACGCACACACACACACGUUUUUGUUUGCUUUGAAUGGAGGCGAUGUUGAUAUUAGCAAAUGAUUGGACGAGCCAGACUAUCACACCACACGAUCAUACCGAGAUUUAAAAAAAACAAAAACAACUUGCAAUUAGUAGAUCUAGAAAUAAAAUGUGGAAAGUUUCUGUGUGAUCAGUUCUUGUAGACACACCAAUAACAUUUAGACUUAUUGAUUGGAAGUCUUCUUCCAGCAUAAUUUCCACUUCCUGUGAUUGUAAGUGUCGUUCAAUGUUAAGUAGGUACUUACAAACAAUUUUCUUACAUGAACAAGCUGCACGGACUUUUGUGACUUUUUUUUUUUUGGUAGUUAGAUGGAUCACCAUGAAUGACUCUUCCUUUUAGGUAGUUAGAUGGAUCACCAUGGAUGACUCAUCCUUUUAGGUAGUUAGAUGGAUCACCAUGAAUGACUCUUCCUUUUAGGUAGUUAGAUGGAUCACCAUGAAUGACUCUUCCUUUUAGGUAGUUAGAUGGAUCACCAUGAAUGACUCUUCCUUUUAGGUAGUUAGAUGGAUCACCAUGAAUGACUCUUCCUUUUAGGUAGACGUCUAGUAUUUAAAAUAUCUACUUUUGAUUCUGGCACUGACCUGUAUGCUCAUACCCUCGUUAUUUCAUGCUUCUUACUUCUGCUCUGUUAAGUUGGUUUAUAAAUUCGUUUGAUCGUGAUAGCGCCCCAAAGAAAUGCAAUUGGUUGGAAUUUGACUAAAAAUUUGAAUGAGACUUAAGGAAAAUUUAAUUUUAUAAAAACUUAAAACGAUGAAACUAGUGUAACAUUAUGGACUGUCGUGUGGGCGUUUGGGUGUAGCCCCAGAAACUUAAACAGCAAUAGGUUUUAAAAGAAAAUUAGUAAUUGUAUCUUAACUCUUUCAAAUUAACUUGUUCUUGGCCAUCUAGCCUUCACAGGUCUCCUUGUUUUAACAGCCGUCACUCCUCUUUUAAAACAACACACUUCCGGUUCAGAAAUAAGUCGUAUGCAGUCCAUCCUUUGUCUAAAGAUAACAUCUUCGUUUUAUUAAUACAUCAGUCACAUACACAUACACCAUAACA